GUGUGUGCGUCCCUCACCACUGCGUGUGCGUCCCUCCCAAAGCUUCGUGCACGCUCAGUGGAACAGGACAACCUUCCCCAAAUAGAGGAGGACCUUUCAAGGGUAUGUGAGUAGCUGCACUUCCCUGCUAGAACCUCCAAACAAGCUCAAGGUCCAAAUACUCAUUCCUUAGGCUCGCGUCUUCACAGUCAUUUUUAACAUUUUUCAUUCAUUCAAUAAACUGAGGCUAAAACAGAAACCAAAUU
rnacentral:snRNA from 1 species